UGGCGGCAGGCCUAACACAUGCAAGUCGAGCGGUAACAGAAAGAAAGCUUGCUUUCUUUGCUGACGAGCGGCGGACGGGUGAGUAAUGCCUGGGAAUAUGCCUUAGUGUGGGGGAUAACUAUUGGAAACGAUAGCUAAUACCGCAUAACGUCUUCGGACCAAAGAGGGGGACCUUCGGGCCUCUCGCGCUAAGAUUAGCCCAGGUGGGAUUAGCUAGUUGGUGAGGUAAAGGCUCACCAAGGCAACGAUCCCUAGCUGGUCUGAGAGGAUGAUCAGCCACACUGGAACUGAGACACGGUCCAGACUCCUACGGGAGGCAGCAGUGGGGAAUAUUGCACAAUGGGGGAAACCCCUGAUGCAGCCAUGCCGCGUGUAUGAAGAAGGCCUUCAGGUUGUAAAGUACUUUCAGUCGUGAGGAAGGCAUUGUAGUUAAUAGCUGCAGUGCUUGACGUUAGCGACAGAAGAAGCACCGGCUAACUCCGUG
rnacentral:rRNA from 1 species